GCUGGGUGUGGUGGUGUACACCUGUAGUCCCAGCUACUAAGGGGGCUGAGGUGGGAGGAUCACUUGAGCCCAGGGAGGUCGAGGCUGCAGUUAGCCAUGAUUGCACUGCUGCACUCCAGCCUGGGCAAUAGAGUGAGACCCUGUCUCAA
ensembl:misc_RNA Metazoa_SRP Metazoan signal recognition particle RNA